CCUUCGAUAGCUCAGUUGGUAGAGCGGUGGACUGUAGAGUUGUGAGAGAGAUAGUAAUCCAUAGGUCACUGGUUCAAAUCCGGUUCGAAGGA
rnacentral:tRNA from 1 species